rnacentral:rRNA from 1 species
UCGAGCGAAUGGAUUGAGAGCUYGCUCUCAAGAAGUUAGCGGCGGACGGGUGAGUAACACGUGGGUAACCUGCCCAUAAGACUGGGAUAACUCCGGGAAACCGGGGCUAAUACCGGAUAAUAUUKUGAACUGCAUGGUUCGAAAUUGAAAGGCGGCUUCGGCUGUCACUUAUGGAUGGACCCGCGUCGCAUUAGCUAGUUGGUGAGGUAACGGCUCACCAAGGCAACGAUGCGUAGCCRACCUGAGAGGGUGAUCGGCCACACYGGGACUKAGACACGGCCCAGACUYCUACGGGAGGCAGCAKUAGGGAAUCUUYCGCAAUGGACGAAAGUCYGACGRAGCAACGCCGCGUGAGUGAUGAAGGCUUUCGGGUCGUAAAACUCUGUUGUUAGGGAAGAACAARUGCUAGUUGAAUAAGCUGGCACCUUGACGGUACCUAACCAGAAAGCCACGGCUAACUACGUGCCAGCAGCCGCGGUAAUACGUAGGUGGCAAGCGUUAUCYGGAAUUAUUGGGCGUAAAGCGCGCGCAGGUGGUUUCUUAAGUCUGAUGUGAAAGCCCACGGCUCACCCGUGGAGGGUCAUUGGAAACUGGGAGACUUGAGUGCAGAAGAGGAAAGUGGAAUUCCAUGUGUAGCGGUGAAAUGCGUAGAGAUAUGGAGGAACACCAGUGGCGAAGGCGACUUUCUGGUCUGUAACUGACACUGAGGCGSSRAARMGUGGGGGAGCAAACAGGAUUAGAUACVCUGGUAGUCCACGCCGUAAACGAUGAGUGCUAMGUGUKAGAGGGGUUUCCGCCCUUUAKUGCUGAAGUUAACGCAUUAAGCACUCCGCCUGGGGAGUACGGCCGCAAGGYUGAAACUCAAAGGAAUUGACGGGGGCCCGCACAAGCGGUGGAGCAUGUGGUUUAAUUCGAAGCAACGCGAAGAACCUUACCAGGUCUUGACAUCCUCUGAAAACCCUAGAGAUAGGBCUUCUCCUUCGGGAGCAGARUGACAGGUGGUGCAUGGUUGUCGUCAGCUCGYGUCGUGAGAUGUUGGGUUAAGUCCCGCAACGAGCGCAACCCUUGAUCUUAGUUGCCAUCAUUAAGUUGGGCACUCUAAGGUGACUGCCGGUGACAAACCGGAGGAAGGUGGGGNAUGACGUCAAAUCAUCAUGCCCCUUAUGACCUGGGCUACACACGUGCUACAAUGGACGGUACAAAGAGCUGC